ensembl:lncRNA
AGUUAGUUCAACUAAUUAUUAUCAAAUAACUAGAGCUAUCCAAUAUAAUGUUUAAAAAAACAAACGUUUUUUAAAUCCAAUUAUUAUAUUUUAUACAAAUAUAACCACUCUAAGAAGGGCUUGAAUCGUAUAUAACUAUAUAUGUAUUUGUUCCAGAUCCUGCACCUUCACCACAUUUGGAAAGACACGGAGAACUUCCAAAAGCCUGGAACAAAUACUGAAAAGUAUUGAAGAAUUGGCACAACCUGGGACCAAUAUAAAGGGUUGCAGUUAUUACAAUGCUGAUGGCCUUUGGGGAGAUGUCUGCAAAAGCCUGGAAGUGCCCAAUACAUCAGUGAAUCGGCAAAAACUUUAUAAGGCCGCUGCUCAUCUUUGGAAGGACAUCUCAGGGAUAAAGAGCAACUUAAAAGUGACAGAUGCUGAUGCUGAGGAGAGGGAACACAUCGCCUCUUCGGAUGACAAUGAUGUUGGAGACACUCAUCUGUCUCCACCUUUGGAAAAAGAGGAUGAAUGUUCAUCUUCAUUUGAAAAGGAUAAUGAAAAGGAAUCCAACCUGGCUGAAUCUGCUUACAUGUCAACAGAGAGCAGUGAGGCAGAGGAGACAAUUUUCUCAUGCUGUGUGCCACAGCAGCCAUGUUUCUUUUUUCUUGACAAAAAGGAAUGGCAAGACCUGAGGGAAUCUCAGAGAGGAAAUUGUUUUCAAGGGUUACAGUGGACAAAUGUGAUAGCAAGUGGAAUAAGGUCACUUCACCCAUACUGCAGCUUUGGUUUUAGACGUCACGCAUUAAAAACCCUGCGGUCACAAAGAAGCGCACCCAUCUUCAAAUGUAAUGGAUACUGUCGGUUUGAAGAUUGCCCCAUUGCUGUUACUGUCGAAGUCAGAGAUGAGGUCACCCUGAAGGCAGAUGUGGUAUUCACAGGAGGAGAUAAGGUGUGCCACAGUACCACUGAACUCAAAAGAAGGCCAGUCCGUGCAGAUGCACGUUCAUCAGUUGCAGAAACCCUUGAAACGAAGUUACCAAGAAGCCUUUUUUUGGACUCUAUGCAGAAAAUUCCUGAGAUGGUGAUAGAAUCAGGCUGCAGGGACGAAGCACCGACAAAAGAGGUUCUAAGGAACAUCGCAUACACCCAAAGACAACUUAAAAGACCUCACACCAACGAACUUUUAAGUCUCCAAAUGCAAAUUGACCAAAAAACAGGAACAGACAAUGAAGUCCUGCAGAGGGUUAUGAUGCACCCAAAAGGAAUAAUGCUGUGGUCAAAAAAGACACUGUCCAUUUUUUACCAAAGAUGCAAGGAAGACAUUGUGUAUCUGGAUGCAACAGGAAGUAUAGUUCAGAAAGAAAGUGGCAAAAGUCCACCAUACUACGUGUAUGAAUUAGUUGUGCGGAAUCCUUCCAAGGGGGCAUCUCCUCUUCCUGUUGCAACCUACCUGACUUGUGACCACACCACAGCAUCUGUCACCUACUUUCUGCGGAAGUUGUAUGGGAAAAGGGCAGUGCAGAGGCCAGUGAUGAUCAUUUGUGAUGGCUCUUUAGUGCUUCUGCAGUCCAUUUCUUUUACAUUCUGCAGACUAAGCCUAGAGGAUCUUCUGCAGAAGUACUUUGAAGUCAUCACUGACCAACAUCAAGCAGAAAGGUUUGACCUUCCCAUUCUUCACAGAUGCUUAAGCCACAUCAUGAAGAAUGCAAAGGAUCUGUGCAAAAAGCAUGUUCCAAACCAUUACAAGCUGGCCAUGCAUAUAUUUGGGCUACUUGCAUGUUCCACAACUCUAAAAGAGAUGGAUGAGGUCAUUCUCAGUGCCACAGUCCUGUUCUGUAGUCCUUGCACUGGAGACAAUGUGUCAAAGCACUACAGCAACCUCCAAGUCCUUAUGCAGCAAAUGGGAACAUUUGAAGUUGAGGAAGAAAAAAUUGUUGCUGAGGACUACAAGUGUGAUGUCACUGCCACACCUAUCCAGAAUCACUUCCAACAAAAAAUUGACAGGGCACCUCUUGACCAUGAUGGUGAAGAAAACAACUAUCAUGCACCAAAUUUCAUUGCACGGUUGGCUCAAUACUUCCUGCCGCAUGCCGCUCUGUGGUCUGGUCUGAUGCUAGGGGAUAUUGGCCGUCAUGGUACAGGCCCAGCAUACCAGCAUUUCAGCAAGAUCCACAAAGAAGUCAGUCAGUCCAAUAAACAGAACUUUACACAAGACAACCGGACACAGGGCAUUAUGGAAAAAAGUCAGUGGGACCUCAAGAGAAUACGAUUCCAGAGAAGGCGACUCACACGACUUGAUGAUUUUGUGCAGACAUACCAAAAAACUCAUGAUGCACUGAUCAUUGAAUACCAAGACAGAGAAAGAACCAGAAAGAAAUCUUUUCGAGUGGAAAUGGAGCAGUGGAAGAAGAAAAGUCAGGGGCGUAAAGGAGUAUACGUCUCCCGACUAGUGAAGAGUCUCCCAUUCAAAGAAAUCAGAAGCAAGAAGAAGUCUCCAAAGGCAGCCACCAAUGAACCCAAAGAAAAACCCGAAGCUGUGAUCUCAACACAGGAUGAUUUGGAAGCUGCAGACACUGCAGCGGAAAAGGCAACCACAGCCAUCGUACACCCUCAGAAAGCAGCAGUGCAGCAUAUAAGAAGGAGAAAAUCCAAUGUUGAAGGGCCUAUUUGGAAAAACUACAGUGCUACGGGAAAAACUGUUACAAGAAGGCUCUCCCGACCAGCUAAGAUAAAUACUCUGCAAGAAAUCCUUCACCAUGACUACUGGUUGACCAGUGAUGCCAUGGAUCAAGCCAGCUACCUCAUGGCCAAGGAUCAUGACCACAUUGACGGAUUUCAAUCGGUUUUACCGUUUAGCGCAAUUGCACAAGGAGGGAUUGUGGGGACUCCUGAAAAGAAAUUUGUUCAGAUGUUGAACAUCAGACAGAGCCACUGGAUAACAGUCAGCAAUUUGUUUUGCAAUGACACUCAACUCGCCGUUUAUGACAGCCUACGUAGCCCUCUGGACCCAAGAACACUGCAGGCACUGUCCUGGCUGCUAAGGCCACAGUCUGACACUUUGGAAGUUUUGCAACCAGCAGUGCAGCAGCAAGCAAAUUUGAGUAACUGUGGGGUGUUUGCAAUAGCCUUUGCAUAUGCAUUAUGCAAGGGUCAUCAACCAGAACAGUGCAUAUUCAAUGAAGGCAGGAUGAGGGCACAGCUGUACAAGUCAUUCACAAGGAACAACAUCACAUUUCGAAUGAAUGUUGAAGACAGAGAAGCUCAGUCAAACAUCACAACAACUACAGUACCAGUAUACUGUGUUUGCAGAACAGCUCAUUACAAAGAGAUGAUGGUGCAGUGUUCACUGUGCAAAGAGUGGUAUCAUCCCACAUGCGUCAACAUUCCGAGAGCUGUGAUCGGGAAUGAUGACAUCUGGCAGUGUUCCAAAUGUGAACAAGCCAAUAGCACUUGAGGUGGAACAUUUUAUUCACAUAGACCACGUUGGUGGAGCACAAAGUUCUCAAAAAUCGUACAAUUCCUAUUUUCUUUUUUUUUAAGGUUAUUUUUUUGUCAUUUUCAAGCCUCAAAGAGCUGAAAUGGGGAGAAAGAGAGAGAGGUGGGAUGACCCGCAGCAAAGGUCCACGGGCCGGACCCGAACCCGCGACCACUGCAACGAAAGCCGGAGCCAACACGGCACAUGCUCCACCCACCAUGCCACCGGAGCGCCCCACAAUUCCAAUUUUCAAAGAUUAUUUAUCACAUUUGUGUCUAUGUUCAGAGUUUGUACUAUUAGAAAUUUAUUUAUGUUUAAACCAACAGGAAAAAAAACAUUUGCAGGUUUCCGUUUUGUAUUUAAAGUCGACACUUUGACAGUUAAUGUAAAAAUGGCAAUUCUUGUAUUUAUUUGAUACUAUUUUAGUUGGCCUAUGACAUUUUUCAGAAAUAUAGUUAUGUACAUUUUAUUUGAAAGUUGGAUUGUUACUAAAGACUUUAUUGGGGUUUUCAAUAAAGAAAACAAAUGAGCAAACCUCUGUCUUACAUCAUGAGGACAGUAUCCAGCCAAUAUGCACAUUGAGAGUGGGAGGGAUUUUGAGUUGAAUUUAUUGUAAAACCGUACAGUAAAAUGUCUUG